UGGGGAAUUUUGGACAAUGGGGGCAACCCUGAUCCAGCCAUCCCGCGUGUGCGAUGAAGGCCUUCGGGUUGUAAAGCACUUUUGGCAGGGAAGAAACAGCCUGGGAUAAAUACCCCGGGCGACUGACGGUACCUGCAGAAUAAGCACCGGCUAACUACGUGCCAGCAGCCGCGGUAAUACGUAGGGUGCAAGCGUUAAUCGGAAUUACUGGGCGUAAAGCGUGCGCAGGCGGUUCGGAAAGAAAGGUGUGAAAUCCCAGGGNUUAACCUUGGAACUGCACUUUUAACUACCGAGCUAGAGUACGUCAGAGGGGGGUAGAAUUCCACGUGUAGCAGUGAAAUGCGUAGA
rnacentral:rRNA from 1 species